UACGUAGUGUGCGAGCGUUGUCCGGAAUUACUGGGCGUAAAGAGCUCGUAGGUGGUUUGUCACGUCGUCUGUGAAAUUCCGGGGCUUAACCUCGGGCGUGCAGGCGAUACGGGCAAUACUUGAGUGCUGUAGGGGAGACUGGAAUCCCUGGUGUAGCGGUGAAAUGCGCAGAUAUCAGGAGGAACACCAAUGGCGAAGGCAGGUCUCUGGGCAGUUACUGACGCUGAGGAGCGAAAGCAUGGGUAGCGAACAGGAUUA
rnacentral:rRNA from 1 species